ACAGUCACAUUUGUGUCAGUUGGUGGCAGAGAGAAGAGAAGCUAUCUACACUCAGUGUUUUAAUCCAUGAACAUCUGAAUGAUUUAGCCUGACACU